CUGUCAUUAAAAAUAUGAAAGCAAUCACAUAAUAACAAAUGUAAGAGACAGUAUUAUUUGAUUACUUACUAUUACAAUAAGAAUAUUUUUUCCAUGUGCUGUUGCUGCUGCUGAGCCCAAAAUGCUACAAACGGUGAACGUAAUCCUGGAGGUCAUACAGUCGGAAACAUCAGCAAUUGAAAUAAAGAUAGCGAUGGCUUGAAUGGAGCGAAACCAAAGUGACUGUACAACGGGUUCUAUUUUUUUUUCCCAAAAUAUAUUUUUUAUUAAGGCACAUGUGGCGUUAGCCUGACGGGGCCAGGAGUCCAAUAUUUUGACAAUUUUUGUCUUACAACUAUGUUAGUAAUAUGUAACCGAUUACUCGCGGUUGGCUCGAGGUUAGUAUUACAAGUGUUCUCAUAAUUGGUAUGUUGCAGUCUUCGAUGCUCUGUACGUGUGCCCGAUACGGGAUACUUCCUAUUGGGAUGCAGCUGACCAUUAAUCAGCAACGCCCCCCUAGUCUGUACCCCAUAUCUAGCGUGGUGCGUCUUUCUCGACUCGAGGAAUCUAAGAUAGAAUGGUCACUAGCCGGCGCAAUCAUCAUCUCGUGUAGAGUUGUCAUGAGCGGUACAACCUUUGGCUCUUGUUGAAUGAUCAGUGGACUGCACAACCUUCGGCCCGUGCAUCUGUGAAGAGUGUGUGUACGUAUUGCCGCGACUAAGUAAAAGUUUAUCGAUCGGAUAGGAGGGAUAUGAAACGGGGAUACAACGAAGGAAACAUCAUUAAACGUUGACAUCGGCGUUUCUGAGGAACAGGUAUAGAUGAAGCAGAAGAUCAGGAUCCCGGCUACCUAAGAUAUCCCGGACGGGGAUAUCCGAUUGUCUGCCUUGUGCUCUCAGUGCUCUAGAGAGCUGAGAGCGAGUAGCAUGGAACCGGAUACACGACCAGACAACAUGCUCGAUGUCGUGGUAGCCAUCGCCACAAUCACAAAGAUUGUUUGCUGCGAGCCCAAUGCGAUAGAGAUGCGCGUUUAUGUUGUAGUGAUUGGACAUAAGCCGAGAUAUCACGCGAAUGAAAUCACGACCUACAUUCAAUCCCUUGAACCAUGCACUCGUCGAGACCUUAGGGAUAAUCGUGUGUAACCAACGACCGAACUCAUCUUCACUCCACAUGCGCUGCCAACUAACGAGUGUGUCCUGACGAGGAAUGUGAAAAAAUUCAUUAUAGGCAAUUUUCCUUUCAAAAAGUGUGCCUUCUGAAGCGCCCACCUUAGCUAGCGAGUCCGCUUUCUCAUUCCCCGGAAUCGAGCAAUGAGAGGGAACCCAUGCUAAGGUAAUCUUGAAUAAUUUUUCGACCAAAACACUCAAUAGAUGUCUUAUUCUUGUUAGGAAAUAAGAUGAGCGUUUAUCAACUUUCAUUGAGCGGAUUGCCUCUAUUGAGCUGAGACUGUCUGAAAAAAUAAAAUAAUGGUCGAUGGGCAGUGUUUCAAUGAUCCCUAGAGCAUAGUAUAUCGCACCCAUUUCUGCGACAUACACGGAACAAGGAUCUUUGAGUUUAAAAGAGGCACUGGAAUUAUCAUUGAAGAUGCCGAAGCCAGUGGACCCGUUUAUGUAUGAACCGUCAGUAAAGAACAUUUUAUCAGAUCCAACUUUCCCAUAUUUUUCGAAAAUAUCGACGGAAUAACAUUGGAGCGUAGGUGAUCUGGUAUUCCAUGGAUUUUUUGUCGCAUGGACAGAUAAAAAAUGACAGAGGAAUUGCAAAAGUAUGGGAAGCAAACUUGGUUGGAGAUGCCUGGUGAAGGGUGCACGUCGUGGGUAAGGUACUCAUGGUAUAAAGACAUAAAACUUGACUGAGGAGUCAGAUGUAGUACGGGUUCUACUUGGUCGAUGAUAAUUUCGUAUGAGACGAGAAGGAUGAAUUGACUAGUAAUGGCGAAGGCAGGAAUUGGCAUUGAAAUUUAUUCAAUUUCAGCUGUUGCUCUUCCUUUCUCAAAAUUACAAUCCAUUUUCAGGCUUAUCCGAUGUUGAUCAAAUGAGACGUUCAUAAAUAAAAUUGUUAGCAGAGACGAUGGAAAAAGCUACUGCAAAAGCUGCUGUCACCGCAGAUAUAAUUGAUAAUCCAUCAUGUUAUUCCUCGAUGGCUUCAUCCUCAUCCACUUCGAACUUAAUCAGUUGUAAGACACUUCACCAAGAACAAUACAACUGUAACAGUAAUUCCAACGAUGGCUCAUCGUCCGAUUGUUCGCUUUUUGUUCCAAACCUACAAGCUCUGAAACAUUCUCCGAAAGAGUGUUUAGUCCUGAACAACAGCACCAUUGAUGUACCCUGCAUGCAUUGAUUUUAUCCUCAACAUCCCCUUCUUCUGUUACCACAGGAUGAUCAGUCACCUUCGAAACAACAGAACAUCUAUCUGACCGCAUAUAUUAGUCAUCAAACAAACUGGAAAAAUAAUAAUUUCCUCAUAGUAAUAUUUAUUGCCUCUAUCAGCACCAGAUACGAAAAUCGUCCGUGUACUCGUUUAAUGUGCGAUUCACAUUGAACGUUACGGAGAAGAACAUCUACGUUCCGUCAACGUCUCUUCACACAUGCAGUCAAUGCUUCCACCAGCACCGUCACGUCAAAUGUCAAACGAAUGAUUUAUUUAAUGUUAUUCAUGGUGUCGCCAACUACAACAACUUUAAAUUGCAAUGCCCUCUUUCAAAUCACGAAUGAUUUAUUUAAUGUUAUUCAUGGUGUCGCCAACUACAACAACUUUAAAUUGCAAUGCCCUCUUUCAAAUCAGCAUGCCUAGAAUCAGUUCUAAAUUUUGAAAAAUUCAAUGAAAAUCAUUGAAUUCAAUUAUUUAAAUGCUUAAAUCCCGUAGUCCGACCCUUAUUCAACAAUAAUGAAAAAUAGAAUAUUUCUCACGAAUGAUUUUCACUCCGAAAUUUGGAGCUAAAGCCGGGUUCAGACGGUGCGAGUAAGCAUGAGAGUCGGUCUAGUCAGUUACUGCAGUGCAGCUACUCACACCGUGUGAACACAUCAUGCCAGCUAGUGUCAUGUGUGAUCCGGCGUGCGAGCUACUUCAAAGUUUUUUGAAUUUACUCGCACUCGCGUCCCUCAAAACGUCAAAAACAGAAUUUAGCGCUCGAAUCAGGGUUGCCAAAUGUAAAUAAAUGUCUCUAUUUUUAGGAUAUUUAAAAAUAUGCGAAGAUAGACUUGAAAUUUAUUGGAAAAACAAAUAAAACCCUCAUAGUUUCUAAACAAAAUCGUUGUUAUUUUGUUUUGCACGCUGGCGGGGCACGUUUUCUUUUUGAGAUAGUUUUCUUGAGAAUCUCUAAUAUAGAAUCAUUAUCAGGCACAAUUUCCAUUCAAAAUUCACUCACAACUUGCAAAAAAAAAGUAUUGUUCUAAGAAAUAGAAUACAUAUUCGAUUUAAAGAAGCAUUUCAUUCAUUAAUUUAGUUUUUGACGUGUAUUUAUUCCUCCUGCAAAUCUACUAUCAUUUUCAUUCCACAAAUUGGUACACGAAGCUGCUGACAAGGCGAAGAAAAAUUUAAAAAAAUAUUUUAGACUGUCAUUUAUAGCAUCACAUACUUCCGGAAUUAUCUUAGCUAUGGAUGCUUUCGAGAUUCUGAAAAAUAUCGACUACAAUAUAAACGAUAUUCCAAAAGUAAGGCACAUCAAUGUCGUUUUUUAAUUUUAUUCUUCCAGGUAUAGCAUCCCUCAUGAGUGUAUCUUGGCGUUGUAUUUUUGGACCAAUGAAAUUCAACAGUGUUUCCACUUAUUCAGGGGUUUUUUUCUCAACACUGCUCUGUACUCUAGAGCAAGGGUUUUCAAAUGGUGCUCCGCGGGAAAUUUGUGCUCCGCAAAGUUAUAGAAAAUGCUCCCACUUGAAAACCCACUUUGAAAAAAAAAUCUUUAAUUUAAUUUCACUGGGCAUCUGGUGAUCUAUCUUGUUUAUCCCAGGUCAGAUAUCGUGUAAAUGCGACGUGCAACCGAAACAGAAUUGUUUUCAGCUGGAUAAUGUCAAUGCAAAUAAGAUUUGUUUUAUCGAUUAAAAAUUGCAGGUACUUCAUCAAAUAUUUUUGCUAUAAAAAGUGAUCUGCUAUAAAAAAAACUGAAAACCCUUGCUAUAGAGGGUCAUCAUCAUAGAGUUCCUUCAAUAUUGUAUUUGUUGCUCCUUUUCCUUGCAUCCAAUUCCUGGCCCAAAUCCUUUUGCCUUUCUUCUUUUUCGGAUAGUACCUUCAGUUCGAAGAAAUUCAGCACAAAAUAUAUUCAUACACGGUUAGCGUGUACUUCGCGAUAAAAUUGUCUAAUGAUAAAUGCAACUGAGAACCUGAAACGAAAACUGCCAAUAGAGAAGUCGAUUUCGGAACAAUCAUCUGUUAAAUUCGGACCUGAUUGCUGUUUCUGACUAUUUUAUGGACAUUUGCAAAAUCAUCUGGCAUCCCUGGUAAGCCAAUGCUGUAGUAUCUAGUUCCUCGUCAGCAGCUCACACUGUGUGAACGGACAAGGCGAGUCAACCAAUUGUCAAGCGAGUUCACCGGCCCAGUAGCUACUCACUGUCAAGUCAGCUACUAGCAACGUAUAAAUGGGCUUUAAGAGAUAUGAUGGCAUAAAAAGUACAGUAAGUUACUUAUAAUUGAUAUGUUGAGGCACCACUCAGUGUCGCAUUGGAGUCGAUUUUGCCCAGUAAUUGUGCAUUCGCGACUGGUGGCGACAUUCAAUGUGGUGCCAUAAUUUGUGCCCCGAACUCAAAGUUUACAAAAAUGUCCAAGUAAACGCGUUGCAUCACAGAUCUGUUCAAUUAUCUUAAUGUCGAAUUAGAUGUAAAUUACUGUACAACCAAAUCAAAACAAAAGCCGAGACACAAAGCACAGACAAAAACCAAACGAGCCGUCCGUCUCCGUCAAUUAUUCUUUUCUACAAAUCCUGCCGGUCGUUUUCGUUGAACGUAUGCUGACGGGUCGUUACCCAGCAAACAUUAAGUCGUAUGAAUAGCUAUAAUUGGAGGCGAUAUACAUACAACCAAGACACAUUUGUAUGAUAUAUGAUGCAGAUAACUAGCAUAUACACACAAAAGUGGAGGCGAUAUACGUAUAUGCCAUAUUUUGUACGCAUAUAAAGCCGUAUAUAACGAUAUGCGAUGCUUUUUGGACUGAUAUGCGAUUUGAUACGACAACGUUACCACUCAAUCCAUCGAUGACAUGGAAAAUCGUGUUUUUGCAUUUUAUGCGAUUUUAGAUAUAUAUGAUCGAUAUCUUGAUUGAUAUUUUAUGCGAUUGUGAUUUGAUACGAAAUUAUAUGUGACUUAUCAUGUGCAAAGUUAUACGAUUUUAUGUUUGCUGGGUACGUUGCUGGUGUAUGUGAAUGUUUUCAUGAGAAUUGCAUGGUAGAAUCAUUGACGUAACGUGACGUGACGGAACGUGGACGUGACGUGGAUGUUGUAUGUGAAUCGCACUUAACUUUUCUUCCGACAGUGCUAACCGUCAGAAUCGAGUAGGUGAAUGUUUCGCCGAUGAAAUCAGACCAACGAGCUCAUUUCACUGUAAUUGCCAGCAUAGACCAUCGCAAAUGUAACCAAAUUGGAUAUCCGAAAAGGCAAACUCAACGAUGUUAAUGGUCGAUACCAUUAAUGCUGGGUGUUGCUGCUGUUGAUGUAGACAAUUCAAACAAAGAAAUCUGCUUUAGACGGAACUUCACUGAUAAUGAUACAAUCUGAUACUGUGAACAUUAUAGGAUACACCAGCAGCAAAUAUCUGCUAGUUCAUGAUUUUGUGCAAGAGAUAGAAAUAAUUCAACAAUUGUAUGUAUAGUAUAUGUAUGUAAAUUGAAUGUAUAGAAAAUAAUUAUUUAUAAACAACGCCGUUUUUAUUUUG